rnacentral:rRNA from 1 species
AGGACGAACGCUGGCGGCGUGCUUAACACAUGCAAGUUGAACGGUAUGACAUGGAAGCUUGCUGAAGUGUCAUAUAGUAGCGGACGGGUGAGUAAUGCAUGAGAAGCUGCCAUUGGGAGGGGGACAACAGUUGGAAACGGCUGCUAAUACCCCGUAUGCCGGAGGGUGAAAGGGAGUAAUCCGCCCGAUGAGGUGCUCAUGUCCUAUCAGCUGGUUGGUGGGGUAACGGCCUACCAAGGCGACGACGGGUAGCCGGCCUGAGAGGGUGAACGGCCACACUGGAACUGAGAUACGGUCCAGACUCCUACGGGAGGCAGCAGUGGGGAAUAUUGGGCAAAUGGGGGCAACCCUGACCCAGCGACGCCGCGUGGGGAAGACGGCCUUCGGGUUGUAAACCUCUUUUGUACGGGAAGAAGGAAGUGACGGUACUGUACGAAUAAGUCCCGGCUAACUACGUGCCAGCAGCGGC